rnacentral:rRNA from 1 species
AUUGAACGCUGGCGGCAGGCCUAACACAUGCAAGUCGAGCGGAUGAAGGGAGCUUGCUCCUGGAUUCAGCGGCGGACGGGUGAGUAAUGCCUAGGAAUCUGCCUGGUAGUGGGGGAUAACGUCCGGAAACGGGCGCUAAUACCGCAUACGUCCUGAGGGAGAAAGUGGGGGAUCUUCGGACCUCACGCUAUCAGAUGAGCCUAGGUCGGAUUAGCUAGUUGGUGGGGUAAAGGCCUACCAAGGCGACGAUCCGUAACUGGUCUGAGAGGAUGAUCAGUCACACUGGAACUGAGACACGGUCCAGACUCCUACGGGAGGCAGCAGCGGGGAAUAUUGGACAAUGGGCGAAAGCCUGAUCCAGCCAUGCCGCGUGUGUGAAGGAGGUCUUCGGAUUGUAAAGCACUUUAAGUUGGGAGGAAGGGCAGUAAGUUAAUACCUUGCUGUUUUGACGUUACCAACAGAAUAAGCACCGGCUAACUUCGUG